rnacentral:rRNA from 1 species
CCUUGACAUACUAAGAACUUUCCAGAGAUGGAUUGGUGCCUUCGGGAACUUAGAUACAGGUGCUGCAUGGCUGUCGUCAGCUCGUGUCGUGAGAUGUUGGGUUAAGUCCCGCAACGAGCGCAACCCUUUUCCUUAUUUGCCAGCGGGUAAUGCCGGGAACUUUAAGGAUACUGCCAGUGACAAACUGGAGGAAGGCGGGGACGACGUCAAGUCAUCAUGGCCCUUACGGCCAGGGCUACACACGUGCUACAAUGGUCGGUACAAAGGGUUGCUACCUCGCGAGAGGAUGCUGAUCUCAAAAAGCCGAUCGUAGUCCGGAUCGCAGUCUGCAACUCGACUGCGUGAAGUCGGAAUCGCUAGUAAUCGCGGAUCAGAAUGCCGCGGUGAAUACGUUCCCGGGCCUUGUACACACCGCCCGUCACACCAUGGGAGUUUGUUGCACCAGAAGUAGGUAGUCUAACCGCAAGGAGGACGCUUACCACGGUGUGGCCGAUGACUGGGGUGAAGUCGUAACAAGGUAGGCGUAGAUGA